CCUACGGGAGGCAGCAGUGAGGAAUAUUGGUCAAUGGGCGAGAGCCUGAACCAGCCAAGUAGCGUGCAGGAAGACGGCCCUAUGGGUUGUAAACUGCUUUUAUGUGGGGAUAAAGUGAGCUACGUGUAGUUUAUUGCAGGUACCACAUGAAUAAGGACCGGCUAAUUCCGUGCCAGCAGCCGCGGUAAUACGGAAGGUCCAGGCGUUAUCCGGAUUUAUUGGGUUUAAAGGGAGCGUAGGCCGUGGAUUAAGCGUGUUGUGAAAUGUAGACGCUCAACGUCUGAAUUGCAGCGCGAACUGGUUCACUUGAGUAUGCACAACGUAGGCGGAAUUCGUCGUGUAGCGGUGAAAUGCUUAGAUAUGACGAAGAACUCCGAUUGCGAAGGCAGCUUACGGGAGCACAACUGACGCUGAAGCUCGAAGGUGCGGGUAUCAAACAGGAUUAGAUACCCUAGUAGUC
rnacentral:rRNA from 1 species